rnacentral:rRNA from 1 species
UGGGGAAUAUUGGACAAUGGGGGGAACCCUGAUCCAGCCAUGCCGCGUGUGUGAAGAAGGCCUUAUGGUUGUAAAGCACUUUAAGCGAGGAGGAGGCUACUGAGACUAAUACUCUUGGAUAGUGGACGUUACUCGCAGAAUAAGCACCGGCUAACUCUGUGCCAGCAGCCGCGGUAAUACAGAGGGUGCGAGCGUUAAUCGGAUUUACUGGGCGUAAAGCGUGCGUAGGCGGCUUUUUAAGUCGGAUGUGAAAUCCCCGAGCUUAACUUGGGAAUUGCAUUCGAUACUGGGAAGCUAGAGUAUGGGAGAGGAUGGUAGAAUUCCAGGUGUAGCGGUGAAAUGCGUAGAGAUCUGGAGGAA